rnacentral:misc_RNA from 1 species
GAAAUGCGAUAAGUAAUGUGAAUUGCAGAAUUCAGUGAAUCAUCGAAUCUUUGAACGCACCUUGCGCUCCUUGGUAUUCCUUGGAGCAUGCCUGUUUGAGUAUCAUGAAAUCUUCAAAGUAAAUAUUUUGUUAACUCAAUUGGUUUCUACUUUGGUAUUGGAGGUCUUUGCAGCUUCACACCUGCUCCUCUUUGUUCAUUAGCUGGAUCUCAGUGUUAUGCUUGGUUCCACUCGGCGUGAUAAGUUAUCUAUCGCUGAGGACACUGUAAAAGGUGGCCAAGGUAAAUGCAGAUGAACCGCUUCUAAUAGUCCAUUGACUUGGACAAUACUUUUAUGAUCUGAUCUCAAAUCAGGUAGUACUACCCGCUGAACUUAAGC